rnacentral:rRNA from 1 species
UACGGAGGGUGCAAGCGUUAUCCGGAUUCACUGGGCUUAAAGGGUGCGUAGGUGGGUUGGUAAGUCAGUGGUGAAAUCUCCGAGCUUAACUUGGAAACUGCCAUUGAUACUAUCAGUCUUGAAUACCGUGGAGGUCAGCGGAAUAUGUCAUGUAGCGGUGAAAUGCUUAGAUAUGACAUAGAACACCAAUUGCGAAGGCAGCUGGCUACUCGGAUAUUGACACUGAGGCACGAAAGCGUGGGGAUCAAACAGG